rnacentral:rRNA from 1 species
CGGGGGAUAACUACGCGAAAGCGUAGCUAAUACCGCAUACGCCCUACGGGGGAAAGCAGGGGAUCGCACAGACCUUGCACUAUUAGAGCGGCCGAUAUCGGAUUAGCUAGUUGGUGGGGUAACGGCUCACCAAGGCGACGAUCCGUAGCUGGUUUGAGAGGACGACCAGCCACACUGGGACUGAGACACGGCCCAGACUCCUACGGGAGGCAGCAGUGGGGAAUUUUGGACAAUGGGGGAAACCCUGAUCCAGCCAUCCCGCGUGUGCGAUGAAGGCCUUCGGGUUGUAAAGCACUUUUGGCAGGAAAGAAACGUCAUGGGCUAAUACCCCGUGAAACUGACGGUACCUGCAGAAUAAGCACCGGCUAACUACGUGCCAGCAGCCGCGGUAAUACGUAGGGUGCAAGCGUUAAUCGGAAUUACUGGGCGUAAAGCGUGCGCAGGCGGUUCGGAAAGAAAGAUGUGAAAUCCCAGAGCUUAACUUUGGAACUGCAUUUUUAACUACCGAGCUAGAGUGUGUCAGAGGGAGGUGGAAUUCCGCGUGUAGCAGUGAAAUGCGUA